rnacentral:lncRNA from 1 species
AUCGGGCCAUCUUCCAUACGGUUCGAUUAAUCCCAUUCCAUCUUCACCCCUAAGAAACUGUUCGCUGCCCCCCGUAGAUGCCGCUCGCCCCUCCUAGAUGCCGCUCCGCCUCCCGAUGAAUCCUCCCUAGUCGGAAAAUUGGGCUAGGUUCAUUGUCGAUCCAUUCUUCCCGUUGCGCCGUUUUCGUUAGCGACGCUUCGUUCCUGCUAUUGAUUGCCCUCCGUUCGCAAAAGUGGUUCAGAUUCAUUCUCUACGCUCUCGUAGACUCAUUGGAUAUCUGUAUUUGUUGAAUCCGAAGAGUCGUUUUACGUUGAAUGCAAUUAUUGUUGUUGCCUAUAUAAUAUGCAUCCAUCAAAUUUUAAUUUGCAGCAAAAAAAUUUUAUUUCUCUGCCGAUACUCAUUUCUUCUCUAAUUUAAUUCUUACCUUUCAUUUUUGUUUGUUACCUUUCAUUUUUGUUUGAAUAUCAAUUUGGCUGCUUAUUGUUUUUUUUAAAAAAUACUGAAUAAUUUUACUUUGCCUCAGGAAAUUGACAGUUGAUUUACAGUCGAUUGCCUCAGAAUUUGUAAAUUCUUUGGAUUAAUUUUUGUAUAUAAACUAUUUUUUUUGCCUUCCAAUUUGUUGAUGUGGAUAAUUUAGUUUUUUUUUUUUUCCAUUCCUGAUUGCCUCAGAUUUAAUUUUUAUGUAUAUAUGAGCUAUUUAUUUUUCCUUCCAAUUUGUUGUUGUGAAUAAUUUAGAAAUUUAUUUUUUAGUAAUUUAUUUUCUCCUGUUCCUGAUUGCCUCAUAUUUAAUUUUUAUGUAUAUAUAAA